rnacentral:rRNA from 1 species
UACAGAGACCUCAAGCGUUAUCCGGAUUUAUUGGGCGUAAAGCGCAGGUAGGCGGUUUGAUUAGUCAGAUGUCAAAGACUGGGGCUCAACCCCAGGAAGGCAUUUGAAACGGUCAAACUAGAGAAUGUGAGAGAUUGCUGGAAUUCAUGGUGUAGUAGUGAAAUGCGUUGAUAUCAUGAGGAACACUCAAGGCGAAGGCAAGCAAUUGGCACAUUUCUGACGCUGAGGUGCGAAAGCGUGGGGAGCGAAUGGG